rnacentral:rRNA from 1 species
CAGCCGCCGCGGUAAUACAGAGGGUGCGAGCGUUAAUCGGAUUUACUGGGCGUAAAGCGUGCGUAGGCGGCUUCUUAAGUCGGAUGUGAAAUCCCUGAGCUUAACUUAGGAAUUGCAUUCGAUACUGGGAAGCUAGAGUAUGGGAGAGGAUGGUAGAAUUCCAGGUGUAGCGGUGAAAUGCGUAGAGAUCUGGAGGAAUACCGAUGGCGAAGGCAGCCAUCUGGCCUAAUACUGACGCUGAGGUACGAAAGCAUGGGGAGCAAACAGGAUUAGAUACCCCAGUUGUCCCUGUCUCUUAUAA